UGGGGAGUCGUCUAAUGGUAGGACUGCAGAUUCUGGAUCUGCCUGUUGGGGUUCGAAUCCCUGCUCCCCAGUCA
rnacentral:tRNA from 1 species